GCGCGCUACGUCCCUCAGACUGGCUGCCCCCGAGGGUUCGCGUGAGCGGAGCACGGGGCUCGGGGUGCGGGGGGCUGGUGUGAUGGACGCAUUUGUUCUUCGGUCCCUGACGAUUGUUUCUCAUUUGCCCUCCAAGCCCCAAAUCCUGUCAGUCCACGGCCUUGAUGGAGCGGCCCCCGUGGGACGACCCUGUUGAUUGUGCUAGCGGAUGUUGUCUCCAUUCUGGAUCUGGGAAAAACUGUGGAGUGAAAGCCGGACCUGUUAGGGUUGGGACCUGAAAGCGGACUUUUUCGCUCUCAGACGGGCCCCAGGAAUUUCAUGUUUAACAGAGGUGUCUUCAAGGAGAUGAAACAAUUCAGAAUGACCUAGGCAAUGGGGUAAUUCCUAAGGAACAAGCUAUUCAUUCAUACAGCAUGGACGAAUAUUAAAUGCAUGUUGCUGAGUGAAAGAAGCCAGAAUGAUAAGGCUACAUCCUGGAAAAGUUUAUAUUCUGGAAAAGGCAAAACUUAUAGAGACAGAAACAAAUCAGCCAGUUGUUGCUGGGGUUUGGGAGAGAAGAAUGUUGACUAUGUGAAGAACAAGGGAUCUUGGGGGGCAUCUAUUCCAUAUGCUACUGUAGGGGUGGAUGCAUGAUACUAUCAUUUGUGGAAAACCAUAGAACUUUACAAAACUAACAGUGAACCUUAAUGUCUGCAAAAUUUUACAAAAUCAACUAGGAGGCUGGGGGAUCCCAGGAUGAAAUACAGGCAAUGACAAAAGAGCCUAACUCUAUUACACAUUUAUAACAUAACCGCACCGAAGAGGACUGGUAUUCUAUAACUGUGGAAAUAAUGGAAACUGGAAAACUGAAGACAAAAGGAACUGUACUUAGCACUAUACUCUAGUUGGUAAAGGCGUUUCUCAAGGGGUACCAGUUAACAAUUCUGAGACUGCUGUACAUGUAUGCAGAGACUGAACAAAUAAGUAAAUGGCUGGUACAUGCUCACUCUCAGGGAGGGAGGCCACAGAUAAACAAGAGGAAGAGGCUCUAAUGUCAUGUGUGGUUGUGGAUUAGAACCAGAAACAUAAAUAUGAACUCAUGUUUAGAUUAAUAUAGAUAUUAAUGGAUUGAUAUAGAAAUAAUGAUGAUAUGGGUAUAUAUACAGGUUAGUAUACAGUCAUAUAUUUCUUAUCCCUAUCCACUGAGAGGGCCUAGAAACAACAAUACUCCAGUAGCAACACACACAUCUCGUGCCCAUAUCUUGAUUUCUUUUGCCAUUUCCUAACAAAAGGAGCCAGGACUUCUUGGAGAAAUGGCUGAUUCUAAGACUGGGUCAGAGAGUAUACCAGAUGACGCUGGCACAUCUUCUACUGCUAGAAAGUAAGGAAAUGCUCAAAAAAUAAAACCACGGAGAUAUUUCAAAGGAACACAGAAGCCAAGUGGAACAGCUCCCAGUGGCCAAAGCUGGAAAAAUUGGGGCAAAAAAAAAAAAAAAAGUAUUAGGUUAUAAUCCAAAAUAUAAAAUAAAUAAUCACCAGCCCGUACUAAUGUGCAUAAAUUAUUGAAUAAAUAAGUAAAUGGGUGAAAAGAGAAAACUCUCUCCCAUACAAAGGAAGCCCAAAUAAUUUAUGUAGAUGAUCGCCCUGCAAUGAGGCAGAGGGCAACUCCCUACCCUGUGUUAAGUGUGGAUGGCACUUAGAGACUUGCUUCUGAAGAGCGCAAUACGGAAAGGAGGGGAGAAGUAACUUGGCAAUGAAGAAACCUGACAAACACCAUCUUCUCCAGGCAGCCAAGGUUAACACCAUCAGUGAUAAGUUACGUUGAUAGCCUGUAUUUUUGAUAUGAUGUGUUGAGAAUGUACUUAGUUUCUGUGGUCUUCUUCCCAAACACCUGACACCAGGCUCACCAGGAGAAAAUGAAUCCAAAUUAAGGGACAUUCUACAGAAUACCUGACCAACACUCCCUCCUAAAAACUGUCAAGGUCAUCAAGGAAUGUCUAGGAAGAAGGAAAGUCUGAGAAGUUGUCUCAGCCCAGAGGAGCCUUAAGAAGCCAUGACAGGUAGGGCGCGGUGGCUCACGCCUGUAAUCCCAGCACUUUGGGAGGUCGAGGUGGGCGGAUCAC
rnacentral:lncRNA from 1 species